rnacentral:rRNA from 1 species
CCUACGGGUGGCAGCAGUGGGGAAUAUUGGACAAUGGGGGGAACCCUGAUCCAGCGACGCCGCGUGAGUGAAGAAGUAUUUCGGUAUGUAAAGCUCUAUCAGCAGGGAAGAAAAUUACGGUACCUGACUAAGACGCCCCUGCUAACUACGUGCCAGCAGCCGCGGUAAUACGGAGGGGGCAAGCGUUAUCCGGAUUUACUGGGUGUAAGGGGAUCGUUGCCGGUGCAGAAAGCAUGAUGUAAAAGGUCGGGGCCAACCCCCGGGACUGCAAUGGAAACUGUUGAACUGGAGUACGGGAGCGGUAAGAGGAAUGGCUGGUGUAGCGGUGAAAUGCGUAGAUAUUAGGCAGAACACCAGUGGCGAAGGCGGCUUACUGGACCGUAACUGACGUUGAGGCUCGAAAGCGUGGGGAGCAAACAGGAUUAGAUACCCGGGUAGUC